rnacentral:rRNA from 1 species
GACGAACGCUGGCGGCGUGCUUAACACAUGCAAGUCGAACGGAAAGGCCCUGUUUUUGUGGGGUGCUCGAGUGGCGAACGGGUGAGUAACACGUGAGUAACCUGCCCCUGACUUUGGGAUAACUUCAGGUAACUGGGGCUAAUACCGUAUAGGACUUCCUCCUGCAUGGUGGGGGUUGGAAAGUGCGGGUGGGUGGGGAUGGACUCCCGGCUUAUCUGCUUGUUGGUGGGUGAGUGGCUUACCAAGGCUUUGAUGGGCAGCCGGCCUGAGGGGGUGACCGGCCACAUUGGGCCUAGGAUAGGGCCAAGACUCCACGGGGGGGAAGCGGGGGGAAGUAUGGCACAAGGGGGGGAAGCUGGAGGAAGCAACGCCGGGUGCGGAAUACCGGCCUUCGGGUUGAAAACGGCUUUAGCAUGUGACGAGGCGUGAGUGACGGUAAUGGGUGAAGAAGCACCGGCUAACUACGUG